rnacentral:rRNA from 1 species
GACGAACGCUGGCGGCGUGCCUAAUACAUGCAAGUCGAGCGAAUCAAUAGGAGCUUGCUCCUGUUGGUUAGCGGCGGACGGGUGAGUAACACGUGGGCAACCUGCCUGUAAGACUGGGAUAACACCGGGAAACCGGUGCUAAUACCGGAUAAUCCUUUUCCUCUCAUGAGGAAAAGCUGAAAGUCGGUUUUU